rnacentral:lncRNA from 1 species
GCGUGAUGGUGGGAGCGUGGCAGAGGGUUAGUGGUUGUCUGCAGAUAUGGGAGCCACUGCUAUGUGUUCAAUGCACUAAGGAUGCAACGACGAACAGGACAGACAUGGCCCUGCCUUCAAGGAAAAAGACUGUGAAGGAGGAAGGCAAUAAGGAGAGACGAAAUCUGGGCUGCAAUUUAAUUACAGAACUGAGCCUUGGAACAUUUCAGGCCUGGCACGGAAUGCAGUUUUUACACAACUUGAGGCAUGAGGAGGUGAGAGAUGGAAAGAAUGCUGUCUGUCAUUUGGAGUCAGAAGGAAAAGAAGGUUGAGGGUCUGCCAGCUCUGCUCUAGUGGUUUUUUCCUGUUUCACCUUUUACAAAAUCGAGAUAAUCGUUUCUACUUGGUAGCGAUAUUGUGAGGUGUAAAAUGGAUUAAUACAUGGAAAAUGCUUAAAGCAACUUCUGGCAUACGGUGAUCGCUCAACCAAUCCAUUGUUAUUUUAUUAUUAUUAUUUUUGUAAGACAGAGUUUUGCUUUUGUUACCCAGGCUGGAGUGCAAUGGUGUGAUCUCGGCUCACUGCAACCUCUGUUUCCCGGAUUCAAGCGAUUUUCCUCCUCCUGAGUAGCUGAGAUUACAGGUGCCCACCACCACACCCAGCUAAUUUUUUGUUUUGUUUUGUUUUUUGUUUUUUUUGAGACAGAGUCUCGCUCUGUUGCCCAGGCUGGAGUGCAGUGGCACGAUCUCG